AGAUUGAACGCUGGCGGCAUGCCUAACACAUGCAAGUCGAACGGGAGUAGCAAUGCUCUAGUGGCGGACGGGUGAGGAAUGCGUAGGAAUUUGCCCUUAAGUGGGGGAUAACCCGGGGAAACCCGGAUUAAUACCGCAUGACCUCGAAAGAGCAAAGUGGGGGAUCGCAAGACCUCACGCUUUUGGAGAAGCCUACGUCGGAUUAGCUAGUUGGUGAGGUAAUGGCUCACCAAGGCGACGAUCCGUAACUGGUCUGAGAGGAUGAUCAGUCACACCGGAACUGAGACACGGUCCGGACUCCUACGGGAGCAGCAGUGGGAAUAUGGACAAUGGGCGCAAGCCUGAUCCAGCAAUGCCGCGUGUGUGAAGAAGGCCUUGGUUGUAAAGCAACUUUAAGUUAGGAAAGUAAAAAACUACGUACUACUAACACAGUAGAGUACGUUAGACGGUACCGACUAAGAAAUAA
rnacentral:rRNA from 1 species